rnacentral:ncRNA from 1 species
ACGUUAAGGUUACAUCCUAAUGGAUGUGCAAAAGGGAAUCCGGUGAGAAUCCGGAACGAUACCGUCACUGUGUAAGGGAGCUGUUUUUCAGAACCACUGGUUUACCGGGAAGGGAGAAGCAGCGAUGAACGAAGUCAGGAGAUCUGCCUUGACG